AUCGCUUCUUGGCCUUAUGGCUAAGAUCAAAGUGUAGAAACUUUUUUCUAUAGAGAACUUGCUAAAACUUAGACAUAUUAGAAACAUACAAAAUUUUAUGGACCUUUU
rnacentral:snRNA from 1 species